GAUGAAGAACGUAGCGAAAUGCGAUACUUGGUGUGAAUUGCAGAAUCCCGCGAAUCAUCGAGUUUUUGAACGCAAGUUGCGCCCGAAGCCAUUCGGCCGAGGGCACGUCUGCCUGGGUGUCACGCAUCGUUGCCCCCCCAAACUCCGGUUCGGGCGGGGCGGAAGUUGGCCUCCCGUGCGUGCCUGCGCGCGCGGUUAGCCCAAAAGCGAGUCCUCGGCGAUGAGCGCCACGACAAUCGGUGGUUUUUUUACCCACGUUCCUCGUCGUGCGUGCCCCGUCGCCCGAACGCGCUCUUGCAACCCUUACGCGUCGCCUCGGUGGCGCUCCCAACGCGACCCCAGGUCAGGCGGGACUACCCGCUGAGUUUAAGCAUAUCAAUAAGCGGAGGA
rnacentral:misc_RNA from 1 species